UACGUAGGGGGCAAGCGUUGUCCGGAAUCAUUGGGCGUAAAGCGCGUGUAGGCGGCCCGGUAAGUCCGCUGUAAAAGUCCAGGGCUCAACCCUGGAAUGCCGGUGGAUACUGUCGGGCUAGAGUCCGGAAGAGGCGAGUGGAAUUCCUGGUGUAGCGGUGGAAUGCGCAGAUAUCAGGAGGAACACCAAUAGCGAAGGCAGCUCGCUGGGACGGUACUGACGCUAAGGCGCGAAAGCGUGGGGAGCGAACAGG
rnacentral:rRNA from 1 species